rnacentral:lncRNA from 1 species
CAGAUCAGACGAUAAGUUUUCCAAAAGGAAUAUUAAACAACCUUUGUGUUCGAGUUGGUACCUUGUACGCCCCAGCAGACUUCGUGGUGAUAGAGACCGGUAAUGAUGAGAGGGCACCCAUCAUCUUAGGGAGGCCAUUCUUAAACACCUUGGGAGCUGUCAUCUACACUAGUGCUACCAAGAUCAGUUUUUACAUCAAAGGGAGGAAGGAGACGUUUUCCUUCAAGAACAAGACUACACAAAUCCCAGACCAAUCUAGACGUGAACCAAGGAAGAGGACCAACAGGAGGAACAGGAACAAGCAAGUGUGGACCGAGUCAGCUAAGAUGGUCACUAGAGUUCAUGGAGGUCAAGAUCAACAACUUAAGUCACCGUUUCUGACCAAGAAGGAUGACCCAGGAAUGCCAAGCAUCUAUUGCUCCAUAAAUGGAUACAACUUCUACAAGACGACUUGCGACACCGGAUCGGGCGUCAAUAUAAUAGCCGCAGUCACCUAUCGGCUCUUGUUCGGAACCAUGCCCCUGAAACCAACAUACAUUCAGAUCCAGAUGGCAGAUCAGACAUUUGGAGAGGUUAAAGGAAUAGUGACUGAUGUCCCUGUCAAAAUAGACGAUCAUUUUGUCUACACAGACUUUCAGGUUAUUGACAUGGGAGAAGACGAGUAUGAUCCACCCAUCAUCCUUAGAAGACCAUUCCUCAGCACCGUUAAAGCAAUUAUCUACAUUGGAACUGGAGAAGUCUAUAUGCACUUUCCCUCAGAGAAGGUACACCGCUAUUUUACUGAUCCUAACUAUAUCAUUGAAGACUCUAAGCAGGUCAGAAAACGACGCAACCACAACCAGAGGAGGGAAAUUAUCAAGGACGGAUGUGCAGACUAUGAAGGAGAAGUGGUAAGGUCAGAAGACAUACAGUUUAAACAGAAUUAUCCACAGGAGACCGUAGCACCAAGUCAGGUGUGGAGAGAGAAGAUAACUAUACAUGAAGAGGAGGCGCUGCCGGAAGUACCGACUACGCCACCCAACAAAUUCCAGGACAACUAAGAAAAUGGAGAGUCCCGUUCGGAGGACUUAAAAACACCGAACGCCUUGCCAAGAGGUAAACUUGGUAGUUAUCCCUUUUCCUUUCAAUUAUUUCAAAUAGCUAGAUUAGUUAAUCAUGUUCGUACUAUCUUAAAAUGAAAAUAAAAAUGUUUAAAACAGUAAGUCCCAUGUGAGUAUACGAGUGGCAUAAACUCUAUAAGUACAUUCACCGUGGUGGCAUAAAAAUAAAAUAAAUAUUUUUUCUGCUUUAUAAAAAUGAAAAUAUAAAAAAAUAGAGAGUAACCUUUAUUGAGGAGGCUCAACAUGAUAAAGGCUAGAUAUUUAUGCUAACACCUAAUCAGUUCUACAAAGCUUUGUUGUCUAUUUUAGCUCCACCGAAUUCAAGGAUCAAGAAGACUAGCCUACGGAGGACAUCCUAAUCGCUGUCACGGUGCUACCGACUUUCAAAUACACCUCUACCACCUGCUAGCUACAUCAGAAGAAAUUACGUCAAAAUUCAGCUUGGGGGAGAGCACCCCCAUUUAUUCCGCUAAGUAUUUCUAUCUACAUAUUUAUACUUAUACUAUAUUAAAAUAUAAAUAUACAUAACCAUGAAAAACCAAAUAAAGAUUUGGUGCCUAUAUAAAUAUAUAUGUCUUUUGCUUAGUGUGUUUAAUAAAUAAAUAAAGAGGCUAUGCUAAACUGAAUCUUAAUAAUAAAAUUCUAGCAUGGAUAUGAUGAAUAGUUGCUCUGCCUAUUUUUUUAAAAAUUUUAGUUCUCUCUCAAGUUUAGACACAACUGUUAUAAUUUAAAGCUUGCUCUAAACCUAAACUUGUGGGAAGAGAACUUGAUCUGAAGUCUAAGUUGUUAACGGAUAUGAUAUGGAAAGGUUGAGCUGCUGUUUAUCUGUUCCUAGAGAUGCUAGAAUUUUGGAGAAUUUUAUCUUUGGAAAUCUUUAAAAUAUCACAUGAUGAGUUCCUGUAUGAUGAGAGUUUAAAUUCCUACCACAGCCCUAUAUACAUGCUUGCUAGACUUUGAGCCACACAUUUACUCUUUACUGCUUAUGAGCAUUGAGUGUUGUCAAGCUGUGUAGACCCUUAGGAGCUUGUCAUGUAGUUAAAUCAAGAUUCACUUGCACGUUCACUCACUCAUGCUGCUUCUACUCCGGAAGUACGCAUCAACAUAUAUCCACUCAUUUCCAUCUCCAGAAACACCCAAAAAUAUUCUACUCCUAAUCCGGGAGAGAAUAGCCAAAAACAUUUCUGUUUUUCCCCUGUGAAAUAAAUGCUCAAGUUAUCUUGGUUACUACCACUUGCUAUAUUAUUUUAGGAGAGGAGUGCUCUAAAAAAAGAGAAAGAAGAAAAAAGGAUACGAGGAAAUAAAAAGGGGCAAGUGCCCAAAACCUCAAAAGAAAAAAAAAGUGAGACGAGAGGUAAAAAUGGACAAGUGUCCGACAGUAGAAUUAGGGGUACAAGAUACCCACCUGAGAGGAAAGAAAAAGAAAAAGAAGAGCAUCUCAUUCCCCUCAAACGUUUCAAAGAGCAAGAAAGGUAUGUAUCCCCUCAAAAGAGCAAAAGUAGAAUUAGACUUUCACCAUUGUUAUCACCAUCAUCACCAUACACCCUGCAUUCGCCACACAUGCACAUCUUGAUUUAACUUAUUGACUUGUUUCUUUGGAUCCAUGGUUUGACUAUGCAAUAAAUGUCUUGUAAGUAUGUAUACUUUAUCUCCCACCUAUGAGCUCCAGAUAUCUAAAGCCUUAUUAGAGUAGGGUGAGAGAGAAGGCAAUGUUACUAUGCCGUAUACCACAAAUACUACAUAUUUUGAGAGAAGGCAUAUACCAUCACUGCCUUGGUAUGGAUCCAGAAAUACCACAAAAGAGAGAUAUGAGAGAGUCAUACAAGGAAUCUCUGAGUUUUAUUUGAAAAUCAGCAAAAUCUCCAGAGCUAUAGCUGAUCAAGAAUAAGAGACAUGGCACUUGACUAGACCGUUCUAUCUUUUAUCUGCUCAAGACAGAAGUGACGGUUACAAGUCCCAGGGUGAAAGGUAAAAUGAGUAAGUUUUAAGUCUUGACAGUUUACUCUAACUCAGAGAUGAGACCUUAUUUGAAAGCAUGUGUACCGUCAACUUUUAAAGGCAUUCCAACAACUUCUGAUCCAUCACUGAGAUUAUCCUUGCUCAGGGAAGAGCAAGAGGUAAGCUUGGGGGAGUUUGUUGAUAGUCCUUAAGUAUCAAAUUUAAUCAUCAAAUAAACAAAGAAAAGGAUCCAAAUGCAAUCGACAUCCAGACUUAGGGUUUUAUCUAACAGAAUUCCACGAGUUUUGGUGUUUGUCUAUUUUUGCAGGGGGUUAUUAGGAAUUAUGGAAGAAAUGCCCACACGUCGGGAUUACAUAGAGAUAUUAACGUGCCGUGCAAUUAUCUUACAUCUAGAAGACUCCAGAAGCCACGAGAACGAAGCGGAGGCGAAAUGGGGCCUGGCCUAGGGCGCCCGCCCAGGAGACCAGGGCGCCCGCCCCUUGUUGGAGUCCAAUCAGGACACUCUUUCGGGAUUACGCUCCACCGACCUAAAGGAUCAAGGAUAACCGUUCAAUCAAUGUCGGUUUGAUCCGAGGGCCCAUAUUCACUUGGAGUGACUAUAAAACCAGACCCCUGGCCCCUAGAGGAGAGAGCCUCUCAACCCUAACUCAUUAUUCCUCAAGGGAGAAGAAGCCUCUGAUCAAGCCUAGAGCCACCACAUCAAUUAGACAUCUAGAUUAGCAUAGCUACUUAGGAUUAGAACUAGAAGGAGUCAAUCUUCGAUUGGUUUCUGGAUCUGUCAAGAGGAUUCUUGGUAAUUCUCUAAUUGUUCUUCUAAUUGUUCAUCUUUGUUCUUCAAUAUUAUGAAUAUGACUUUGUUCUACUUCAAUAUAUUGCUUAUGACUUUACUCUACUUGUUUAUAUUCAAGAUUAUAUUGUUCUUAGUUUAUCAUGGUUAUAUACUUGGCUUAGUUAGAUUGGAAUUAUAUACAUGUUUAGGAUCAUAUAGCAUUUAUCCAUCGGAUCCAUGGGGAAAUGAUAGAUAUUAUGUAGACGUGGUGCCUAUAUCGUAUUUAUCUGCGAUUGUACCCAAUAUGCCAGAUCGUGGGGGUGGUUCUUGAUAGUGACAGCUUAAUUGAUUCUUAUAUAGUCCCCCUCUCGUGUAUUGGGCAGGCAGAGCAACAUUAUUACAGGGGAGUGAUUACGAUGUUUCUCAUAUUCCUUGGUAAUAUCACUAUGCAUGGGCGUAGUCUUGUCUCGCAAUGAUUGCUAAGUAUACUUGCACUAACUAUGAUAAUGCUAGACUGUAUAGUUAAGAAUAACUUAGGAAAUUUUCUUGUAGUUCAUCCUAAUUCCAAGAUAAUUACUUGCUAGAAUAUCUAAUUGAGAUGCUUAUCAUAUUACAGGCUAAGUUAUGUUGAUCAGAUUAAUUAUCUUUGUCACUAUUCAUUACUUUAUAUAUCCAUUAUGUGACACUUAUCCCUGUAUGAAAGAGUUAGAUAAAUGUUCUCAAUUAUACAAGAAAUGAUAGAUACUCAAUCUUGUAUUCCAUUCUAUAAUCAACAUUGAUGAUUACUAAUCCCUUCUCAGUGGUAAAAAUAUAAAUAACGAUACCUGGAAUACUUCCCGGUUAAAAUGCUACAUCGGUAUUAAUCUGUGUGCUUGCAGAUCCCAUUCAUUAUUUAUUUAAGAUGAGCAAUUGCAUAUUUCAAUACCGCGUCUCUCAUGUCAUGCUGGGGAUGACAACUUGGCUUAAGUGGUAUGAGGGAUAGGUUUGGCAUUUUUGGCACCGUUAUCAGAAUUAGAAAAUUGUCUACUUUUGGUAGUGAUGUUAAGAAUACCCAACAGACGUGAACUACAUCAACAACAAUAACUACAACUACUACUACAACCGUCCUCAACAAAAUCAAGGUUGGAAUCAACAAAGGCCGAACUACUCAGGUAACUAUCAAGGUAACAAUUCUUACAAUAAUAAUAAUUUUUCACCUCUCAGAGAGUUAGUGUCUAAUCAAGGAAAGCUAAUGGAUAACCUAUCUAAGAAAUUGGCAUCUAAUGAUAAAAUGCUAGAAAAUAUAAAUAAUACAAUGGAUAAUUUCUCUACUCCCAUCAAGAAUCAAAUUAGCUUUAAUAAAAUGAUUGAAUCUCAGUUAAAUCAAAUAGCUGCUGGUGUUCUUGCUACUAACCCCGGUAUACCAUCACAACCGGAAGGAUUAGAAUCUGCAAAUCUUGUAGACAUGUUUGAUACAGGUAACUACUGGAGUAACCCCGGAAGUUACUAAUGACCUUCUGCCGGUCAAGAGAGGCGAUCCAGGACGCCCCAUCAUCCCGAUCUCCAUUGGCAUGGUGGACUUCCCAGAAGCACUCUGCGACUUUGGCUCUAAUGUCAACAUUAUGCCCAGGGUACUCUAUAAAAAAUUCUUUACAUAUCCUUUAUUAGAAACAACCAUGUGUUUGCAAUUUUCAGAUUGGAUGCUAAGUUUCCCAAAAGGAAUAUUGAAGAACCUCUGCGUCCGAGUUGGUACCUUGUACACCCCAGCAGACUUCGUGGUGAUAGAGACCGGUAAUGAUGAGAGGGCACCCGUCAUCUUAGGGAGGCCAUUCCUGAACACCUCGUUAGCUGUCAUCUACGCUAGUGCUGCCAAGAUCAGUUUCUACAUCAAAGGGAGGAAGGAGAUGUUUUCCUUCAAGAACAAGACUACACAAAUCCUAGAGCAAUCCCGACAUGAACCAAAAAAGAGAACCAACAGGAGGAACAGGAACAAGCAAGUGUGGACCGAGUCAGCUAAGAUGGUCACUGCAGUUCAAGGAGGUCAAGAUUGUCGACUCAAGUCACCGUUCCUGACCAAGAAGGACGACCUAGGUAUGCCAAGCAUCCAGUGCUCCAUUAAUGGAUACAACUUCUACAAGAUGCUUUGCGACACCGGAUCAGGCGUCAACAUAAUGGCCGCAGUCACCUAUCAUCUUCUAUUCGGAACCAUGGCCCUAAAACCGACAUACAUUCAGCUCCAGAUGGCAGAUCGGACAUUCCGAAAGGUUGAAGGUAUAGUAACUGACGUCCCUAUCAAAAUAGACGAUCAUUUUGUCCAUACAGACUUUCAGGUUAUUGACAUGGGAGAAGACGAGUACGAUCCACCCAUCUUCCUUGGGAGACGUUUCCUCAGCACUGUUAAAGCAACCAUCUACAUUGGAACUGGAGAAGUUCACAUGCACUUCCCCUCUGAGAAGGUACGCCGCUAUUUCACUAACCCUAAUUAUAUGGUUGAAGACUCUAAGUAGGUCAGGACAAGAAGAAGACGACGCAACCGCAACCAGAGGAGGCAAAUCAUCAAGGACGGAUGGGCGGACUAUGAAGGAGAAGUGGUAAGAUCUGAAGACAUACAGCUUGAACAGAACUACCUUGAGGAGACCGUAGCACCGAGUCACGUGUGGAGAAAGAAGAUAGUUAUACAUGAAGAGGAGGCACCGCCAGAAGCACCGACUACGCCAUCCAACGAAUCCUAGGACGACUGAGAAAACAGAGAGUCCCGUUCGGAGGACUUAAAAACACCGAACGCCUUUUGCCAAGAGGUGAACUUGGUAGUUAUCCUUUUCUUUUCACUUAUUUAAAAUAGUUUGCGUAGUUAAUCAUGUUCAUACUAUCCUAAAAAGAAAAUAAAAAUGUUAAAAAAUAGUAAGCCCCAUGUUAGUAUACGAGUGACAUAAAACCCAUAAGUACAUUCACUGUGGUGGCAUAAAAAUAAAAUAAAAAUAUUCUUCUGCUCUAUAAAAUAUAAAAAUAAGAUUGUGAUCCUACCAAAGAGAGUAACAUUUAUUGAGGAGGCUCAACACGAUAAAGGCUAGAUAUUUAUGCUAACACUUAAUCAGUUCCACAAAGCUUUGUUGUCUAUUUGAGCUCCACAGAAUUCAAGGAUCAAGAAGACUAGCAGACGGAGGAUAUCCUAAUCGCUGUCAGGGUGCUGCCGACUUUCAAAUACACCUCUGCCACCUGCUAGCUAUAUCAGAAGAAAUUACGUCAAAAUUCAGCUCGGGGGAGAGCACCCCUAUUUAUCCCGCUAAGUAUUUCUAUCUAUCUAUAUACUUGUAAUAUAUUAAAAUAAAAAUAUACAUAACCAUGAAAAACCAAAUAAAGAUUUUGUGCUUAUAUAUAUAUAUCAUUUGCUUAGUGUGCUUAAUAAAUAAAUAAAGUAGCUAUGCUAAACUGAAUCUUAAUACAACUCUAGCAUGGACAUGAUGAAUAGUUGCUCUGCCUAAUUUUCAAACUUGAAGUUCUCUCUCAAGUUUAGACAUAACUGUUAUAAUUUAAAGCUUGCUCUAAACCUGAACUUGUGGGAAGAGAGCUUGAUCUGAAGUCUAAGUUGUUAACGAAUAUGAUAUGAGAAGGUUGAGUUGUUGUUUAUCUAUUCCUAGAGAUGCUAGAAUUCUAGAGUAUUUUAUCUUUGAAAAUCUUUAAAAUAUCACAUGAUGAGUUCCUGUAUGAUGAGAGUUUAAAUUUCUACCAUAGCCAUAUAUACAUGCUUGCUAGACUUUGAGCCACACAUUUACUUUUUACUGCUUAUGAGCAUUGAGUGUGGUCAAGCUGUGUAGACCCUUAGGAGCUUGUCAUGUGGUUAAAUCAAGAUUCACUUGCAUGUUCACUCACACAAGCUACUUCUACUCCGGAAGUACGCAUCCACAUAUAUCCACUCAUUUCCAUCUCCAAAGCCACCCAAAAGUAUUCUACUCCUAAUCCGGGAGAGAAUAGCCAAAAACAUUCUCCUAUUUCUGUUUUUCCCUAUGAAAUAAAUGCUCAAGUUAUCUUGGUUACUACCACUUGCUAUAUUAUUUCAGUAGAUGAGUACUCUAAAAAAAGAGAGAGAAAGGAUACGAGGAAAUAAAAAGGGGCAAGUGCACGGAACCUCGAAAGAAAAAAAAAGUAAGACGAGAGGUAAAAAUGGACAAGUGACCGACAGUAGAAUUAGGGGUACAAGAUACCCACCUGAGAGGAAAGAAAAAGAAAAUGUAGAGCAUCUCAUUCUCCUCAAAAAGUUUCAAAAGAGCAAGAACAGUAUGUAUACCCUCAACAGAGCAAAAGUAGAAUUAGACUUUCACCAUUCUUAUCACCAUCAUCACUAUACACCAUUUAUUCGCCACACAUGCACAUCUUGAUUUAACUUAUUGACUUGUUUCUCUGGAUCCAUGGUUUGACUAUGCAAUAAAUGUCUUGUAAGUAUGUAUACUUUAUCUCCCACCUAUGACCUCCAGAUAUCAAAGCCUUGUUAAAGUAGGGUG